AACGAACGCUGGCGGCAGGCUUAACACAUGCAAGUCGAACGCCCCGCAAGGGGAGUGGCAGACGGGUGAGUAACGCGUGGGAAUCUACCCAGUUCUACGGAACAACUGAGGGAAACUUCAGCUAAUACCGUAUACGCCCUACGGGGGAAAGAUUUAUCGGAAUUGGAUGAGCCCGCGUUGGAUUAGCUAGUUGGUGAGGUAACGGCUCACCAAGGCGACGAUCCAUAGCUGGUCUGAGAGGAUGAUCAGCCACACUGGGACUGAGACACGGCCCAGACUCCUACGGGAGGCAGCAGUGGGGAAUAUUGGACAAUGGGCGCAGGCCUGAUCCAGCCAUGCCGCGUGAGUGAUGAAGGCCUUAGGGUUGUAAAGCUCUUUCAGUGGGGACGAUAAUGACGGUACCCACAGAAGAAGCCCCGGCUAACUUCGUGCCAGCCGCCGCAGUAAAAC
rnacentral:rRNA from 1 species